rnacentral:lncRNA from 1 species
GAGCCAACGGUCACAUGUGAAUUCUGAGUUUUAUGGAGGCCUGCUAUAUCAGAUCCAUCAGAUCCACGUCCAACCCAUCAACCACUGAACUUUCUUUUUUCUUUUUUUAGACAGGGUCUCGCACUGUCGCUGAGGCUGGAGUGCAAUGGCACGAUCUCAGCUCACUGCAAUCUCCACCUCCCGGGUUCAAGCGAUUCUUGUGUCUCAGCCUGCCGAGUGGCUGGGACUACAAGCGCACACCACCACACCCAGCUUAUUUUUGUAUUUUUAGUAGAGAUGGGGUUUCACCAUGUUGGCCAGGUUGGUCUCGAACUCCUGACCUCAAGUGAUUCGCCUGCCUUAGCCUCCCAAAGUGCUGGGAUUACAGGUGUGAGCCACUGCGCCUGGCCUGAACUUGUCUUAAAGCUACUCUCAUACUGGAAAAGCUUAAGGUACUGGGGCACCUCCUUGCAGGAUAGUUGUUCCCCUGAGGCAACCGUCCAGUAGAACACAUCUGAAACAUGUGUGAGUAAGCAACUAUCGUGACAAUCACUUUUAGAACAUUUUCAUCAGCCCAGAAAGAAAAUCUAUACUCUUAGUAAUUGCUCCCCAUUUUCUCCCAAGCAGCAGCAGCUGCACCACCCCUACCCCCAUCUCACCCUCCAGCCCUAGAUAGCCAAUAUGUAGUCUCUUGUGACUGGCCUCUUUGACUAAGCAUAUUUUCAAGGUUCAUCAUGUUAUAGCAUGUAUCACUUUAUCACUUUUUUUUUUUUUUUUUUUUUUGAGAUGGAGUCUUGCUCUAUCGCCCAGGCUAGAGUGCAGUGGUGCGAUCUCGGCUCACUGCAAACCUCUGCCUCUCGGGUUCAAGCGAUUCUCCUACCUCGGCCUCCCUAGUAGCUGGGACUACAGGCAUGCACCACCACACCCAGCUAAUUUUUGUAUUUUUAGUAGAGAUGGGGUUUCACCAUGUUGGCCAGACUGGUCUGGAACGCCUGACCUCAGGUGAUCCACCUUCCUCAGCCUCCCAAAGUGCUGGGAUUACAGGCUUGAGCCACCACGCCCAGCCAGGAUAGCAUGUAUCACUUUUGAUAAACUCUUGAAGGUGCUCUUUAUUCAGCAUCUUUUAAAAACACCUUUCCAGUAUCGGGUACUUCUGUGGAGUUCUUGCUUUAUAAUCUAGUCAGUUGUCCUGCCAGUGAUAUCAGCACUUCAGUUUCUAACUUUUGGAUACAGGGAUUUGUUGCCGUAUGAGUAGAUUAACAACAGAAUCUAUACCAUUUUUUUUUUUUUUUUUUUUUGUGAGACAGAGUCUCACUCUGUCCCCCAGGCUGGAGGGCAGUGUCGCGAUCUCACCCCACUGCAAUCUCUGCCUCCCGGGCUCAAGUGAUUCUUGUGCCUCAACCUCCUGAGUAGCUGGAAUUACAGGCAUGUACCACCAUGCCUGGCUAAUUUUUUGUAUUUUUAGUGGAGACCGGGUUUCACCAUGUUAGCCAGGCUGGUCUCGAGCUCCUGACCUGAAGUGAUCCGCCCGCCUCAGCCUCCCAAAAUGCUGGGAUUACAGGCAUGAGCCACCGCACCCAGCCUAUGCCGUUUCUUAGUGGAGACUUUUCACUUUGCUUUUCUGCCUUUAAGAGAUACAUACGGACAGGCCUAGUGGCUCACACAUGUAUCCCAACACUUUGGGAGGCCAAGGUAGGAGGAUCACUUGAGGCCAGGAGUCUGAGACCAGCCUAGGCAACAUAGCAAGACCCCAUCAUUU